AACGUAGGGGGCAAGCGUUAUCCGGAAUUACUGGGUGUAAAGGGUGAGUAGGCGGCCCUGCGAGUCAUAUGUGAAAUGCACAGGCUUAACCUGUGAACUGCAUAAGGAACUGCAGAGCUAGAGUACAGGAGAGGUAAGCGGAAUUCCCAGUGUAGCGGUGAAAUGCGUAGAUAUUAGGAAGAACACCAGUGGCGAAGGCGGCUUACUGGACUGAAACUGACGCUGAGUCACGAAAGCGUGGGGAGCGAACAGG
rnacentral:rRNA from 1 species